UACAGAGGUCUCAAGCGUUUGUUCGGAUUCAUUGGGCGUAAAGGGUGUGUAGGUGGCGCCGUAAGUCAGGUGUGAAAUCUCGGGGCUUAACUCCGAAACUGCAUUUGAUACUGCGGUGCUUGAGGACUGGAGAGGAGACUGGAAUUUAUGGUGUAGCAGUGAAAUGCGUAGAUAUCAUAAGGAAGACCAGUGGCGAAGGCGGGUCUCUGGACAGUUCCUGACACUGAGACACGAAGGCCAGGGGAGCAAACGGG
rnacentral:rRNA from 1 species